rnacentral:rRNA from 1 species
GACGUAGGGCGCGAGCGUUGUCCGGAUUUAUUGGGCGUAAAGAGCUCGUAGGCGGCUUGUUGCGUCGACCGUGAAAACUUGGGGCUUAACCUCAGGCUUGCGGUUGAUACGGGCAGGCUAGAGUUCGGUAGGGGAGACUGGAAUUCCUGGUGUAGCGGUGAAAUGCGCAGAUAUCAGGAGGAACACCGGUGGCGAAGGCGGGUCUCUGGGCCGAUACUGACGCUGAGGAGCGAAAGCGUGGGGAGCGAACAGG